GCAAAGUUGUGUAGUGCGAUCGGUGGAUGCCUUGGCACCAAGAGCCGAUGAAGGACGUUGUGACCUGCGAUAAGCCCUGGGGAGUUGGUGAGCGAGCUGUGAUCCGGGGGUGUCCGAAUGGGGAAACCUGGAAUGUCCGGAGUAGUGUCCGGUGGCCCUGCCCUGAAUGUAUAGGGGUGUGGGUGGUAACGCGGGGAAGUGAAACAUCUUAGUACCCGUAGGAAGAGAAAACAAGUGUGAUUCCGUGAGUAGUGGCGAGCGAAAGCGGAGGAGGCUAAACCGUGUGUGUGUUCAAGCCGGCAGGUGUUGCAUGUGCGGGGUUGUGGGGGCCUUGUGGUUCUGCUGCCGCAGGAUUGGCCAGUGAGAAAUGCUGCGUGAAGGUGAAGCGUCUGGGAAGGCGUACCGGAGUGGGUGAGAGUCCUGUAACUGUAAGCGUGGCACUGGUGUGGGGUUGCCCCGAGUAGCGUGGGACUCGUGGAAUUUCGCGUGAAUCUGGCGGGACCACCCGUCAAGCCUAAAUACUCCUUGGUGACCGAUAGUGGAUGAGUACCGUGAGGGAAGGGUGAAAAGUACCCCGGGAGGGGAGUGAAAGAGUUCCUGAAACCGGUCGCAUGCAAGCCGUCAGAGCCUGUGUGGUGAUGGCGUGCCUUUUGAAGAAUGAGCCUGCGAGUUAGUGAUGCGUGGCGAGGUUAACCCGUGGUGGGGGAGUCGUAGCGAAAGCGAGUCCGAUAAGGGCGUGAGUCGCGUGUUCUAGACCCGAAGCGGUGUGAUCUAUCCAUGGCCAGGAUGAAGCGUCGGUAAGACGUCGUGGAGGUCCGAACCCACUUCAGUUGAAAAUGGAGGGGAUGAGUUGUGGAUAGGGGUGAAAGGCCAAUCAAACACCGUGAUAGCUGGUUCUCCCCGAAAUGCAUUUAGGUGCAGCGUUGCGUGGUUCUUGUUGGAGGUAGAGCACUGGAUGGUCUAGGGGGCUUAUCGGCUUACCGAAAUCAGCCAAACUCCGAAUGCUGGCAAGUGUAGCGUGGCAGUGAGACGGCGGGGGAUAAGCUUCGUCGUCGAGAGGGAAACAGCCCAGAUCAUCAGCUAAGGCCCCUAAGUGGUGACUCAGUGGGAAAGGAUGUGGAGUUGCGUAGACAACCAGGAGGUUGGCUUGGAAGCAGCCAUCCUUGAAAGAGUGCGUAAUAGCUCACUGGUCAAGUGAUUCCGCGCCGAUAAUGUAGCGGGGCUUAAGUUAUCCGCCGAAGCUGUGGCAACCUGUGUGGUUGGGUAGGGGAGCGUCGUGUCAGUGGUGAAGCUGCCGGGUGACUGUGUGGUGGAGUUGAUGCGAGUGAGAAUGCAGGCAUGAGUAGCGUGUGACGGGUGGGAAUCCCGUCCGCCGAUUAUCCAAGGGUUCCAGGGUCAAGUUUGUCUGCCCUGGGUGAGUCGGGUCCUAAGGCGAGGCC
rnacentral:rRNA from 1 species